UCUGAAAAGAGCUGCACUUACCAUCACUAGCCCAUACAGUGGGUGGCGGUAUGGCGCACAAUUGAAAGCUGAAGUAGAAACCGUAGAAGAAGAACUGAAGAAGGCGGAAGCAGUUAGCUGCGCAUGUGUGAGGAAGGCUACCAAAGAAAAGUUGAUUUUGAGGCAAGGAGAGUCUUUUUUCGGAUGAAGUGCAACAAUGUGCACAUUUUGAGCAUAAUAAGAUAAUUUAAUUUGUAUGUUAUCCAUUUUUUUAAUUAUUAGCAUGAUUUAAAACGAGGUUUCGCUCAGCGAGGUUGACUGAAAACUGCACACGUGGGGAUCCCUGUUCAGUAAUCAGGUUACCUGGAGAACAUUGUGUCCUGUGUCCAGAGUGAAAUGAACAUGCAUGGUCGUCUUUCUGAGCUGGAAGUGAAAUUUCUGAAAGUGUCGACACACCUUUUAAUCUGCAGCAGCAUCUCAACAAUGAGCACUUUCUGGUUUGUCUUUGUUCUUUAGUUAAAGUCAUUCUAACGUAAUAAAUACCCAUUUUGAAGCAAA